rnacentral:rRNA from 1 species
AGUGAACGCUGGCGGCAGGCCUAACACAUGCAAGUCGAACGAGUGGCGGACGGGUGAGUAAUAUCUCGGAAUCUACUCUGUGGGGGGGGAUAACGUCGGGAAACUUUCGCUAAUACCGCAUACGAUCGAAUGAGCCGAGGUGGGAUUAGCUAGUUGGUGGGGUAAAGGCCCACCAAGGCGACGAUCCGUAGCUGGUCUGAGAGGAUGACCAGCCACACUGGAACUGAGACACGGUCCAGACUCCUACGGGAGGCAGCAGUGGGGAAUAUUGGACAAUGGGCGCAAGCCUGAUCCAGCCAUGCCGCGUGGGUGAAGAAGGCCUUCGGGUUGUAAAGCCCUUUUGGUGGGAAGGCGGUACCCAAAGAAUAAGCACCGGCUAACUUCGUGCCAGCAGCCGCGGUAAUUC